GUAAAAAGUUAGGUAAGAAAAUGUUGGGAGGGUGAAAUGGGCUAUUUUUUUUAUAUGAUCAGGGCAUACUUUUAGGGGACUCUUUUGUCUCAUGUUAUUUUUUUAGGUCGACAUGUGAGGAAGGGCCACUCUUGUCACAUGGUUGCUGACACCAUAUAAAGAUGGUACCAGGCACUGCUUUCUCUUUCAGCAUAUUAAAGUGUAUUUUUUGAAUCUUUGGUAUAUUGAUGCUAAACGCACGGUUUUCAAUUUCUGGUAGUUCUGCAUGUGCUGCAUUUGUUGCUGGGAACACUUCUAUUCUUUUUAACUUCUGACGUUUCUGAGUUCCACCAAAUGUAAACAAUAAUUUGGGAG
rnacentral:misc_RNA from 1 species